CCCACCCCAGCUCUUGUUCUCUAAACCCAUUUUCAUUUUUGGCAGUCACUCAAGGUUCUGGAGUUCUUUCUAGUUCCUUCAAAUGGUUUUGUGGUUUUGAUUAGGGAGAUGCAACAGACGACAGAAUGGGUACAGAAUGGGGAGAAGCUAAAGUAGACAGACUGGUGAGGACCAGGGAUGACAGCCUCCAUCUAUGAGCCAUGGGGAAGCUCUCACACUUCCAGGGUGACCUCGAUGAACUGAUACACCCUUUUCUACUAGUUUGGCUGUCAGACCUCUCCAAGCAAGCUUGCAAAUUGCUAAGGCUCCUGGCAGGAAUGAAUGAAUGUCAGCAACCCCCAAGAUCAUUCUCAGUGAGAGCAACUGUUCAGGGUAAAAGAAAGAAUAAAAAUUUUACAGGAACCAAACAAA